rnacentral:rRNA from 1 species
CUCACUCUAGCGAGACUGCCGGUGACAAACCGGAGGAAGGUGGGGAUGACGUCAAAUCAUCAUGCCCCUUAUGACCUGGGCUACACACGUGCUACAAUGGGAAGUACAACGAGUCGCAAAGUCGCGAGGCUAAGCUAAUCUCUUAAAGCUUCUCUCAGUUCGGAUUGUAGGCUGCAACUCGCCUACAUGAAGCCGGAAUCGCUAGUAAUCGCGGAUCAGCACGCCGCGGUGAAUACGUUCCCGGGCCUUGUACACACCGCCCGUCACACCACGAGAGUUUGUAACACCCGAAGUCGGUGAGGUAACCUUUUGGAGCCAGCCGCCUAAGGUGGGAUAGAUGAUUGGGGUGAAGUCGUAACAAGGUAACCGUAA